AGAUGGAACAGGGCAGGCGCUCACAGUGGAGGUACCUGGUGGUGUGGGGUUCUCCAUGGGGUGGGUACAGGGUGGGUGUUCACUGAAAAGCAACAUGAGGGAAACCUCCUGUGUGUGCUUUCUGUCAGAAUAUAAAAAUACAUUUUUAUCUAUAAGUACAGGGGAAUGAUCCUUUGCAAAGCCAGAGGGGUGAAGGCUGUGUCGAAGAGAGGAGCCGAAUCCAAGGAUUUUGGCUCUACAAGUGCUUCACUUCCCAUCCCCAACAACCUGACUGCAGAAGCUUCCCUGAAAUCUCUGAGAAACAUAGGUGUCUGUCUUGUUUGGAUAAAAUGAGGAAAAUGUCCUCCCUGAAGCAUUUUCUGACAUUCAUGGAAAUGUGCUGAAAUGAGGGCUGAGAGAUGUCAGGUUUCCUCUGUCUGUUGCCCUUUGUGAACGUGUGUUGCUGUGUGCAGUGAAAUGCAGGGUAAAUUCCUGUGCCAGCACAGCCACCUCAUAACCCAGCUGUGCCAGAGCAUCACCACUGCUCCUGCCUCUGCUCCAACAACCCUGCCAUGGCAUGAAGAGACUCAAACAGCAUUUUGCCUGCCCCAGGUACAGAUUGAUGUCUGCAAACUUUCUGCCUAUUAAAAUUGUGCCUCCAUCAGCAUCUCCUUCUGCAGGAACUUUGCGUGAUCUUAAAAUGAAGCUUGUCUGGGUGACACCUGGGCUGCUGGAACCUGUUUGUGGUGCUCAGUGGUUGUGCAUCUCUGAUGACAGUGAUGCCCCCCAAAAUCCCGGGGGGCUGAACCCCACCAGGAGUGGGAGUUGUGCUCUGGACACCACAGGCUGUGACGAGCCCAUCCCUGGGCAGAUGUUAAUCUGAAAACUUCAGCUCUUUGUGCUCAAAUUCUGCACUGGGUUUAGUCACCCAAAGGAAGAGUCACUGUGUUAAGCUGCUGGAAGGCUGGACUUGGUGAUCAAAGUCAGGACUGAGUUGAAGGUUGGACUUAAUGAUCUUGGAGGUGUUUUCUGACCUUAAUGACUCUAUGAUUCUAUGAAGUGUGUUUUUCUUGAACAACCCUCCAUUGCCCACGUGUGCCUGGGUCUGUGUCUGCUGGUGAAGUGUUCUCCAGUGGGUUGGGGCCGUGGGGAUCCUGCACCUUUGGCAGCACAAAAGCAGCUCAGCCACAGCUCUGUGGUGAGAUUCCCCAUGGCCAUGUGAGGCCCCUGUGAUGGUGGGACAGCUGAAUGGUGAGCCAUGAGCAGUCCUACAUGGCAGAGGGAAAACAGAGAGCUUGGCCAGGACCUUUGGACCAAAGAAGUUGGAGAUCUGUAAGGGAAAGAGCUAUUUCCAGCUCAGAAAAAAACGAAUUAA
rnacentral:lncRNA from 1 species